rnacentral:rRNA from 1 species
UGGGGAAUUUUGCACAAUGGGGGAAACCCUGAUGCAGCGACGCCGCGUGAUUUAGAAGGCCUUCGGGUUGUAAAAAUCUUUUCUAUGGGAAGAAAAUGACAGUACCAUAGGAAUAAGGACCGGCUACUUACGUGCCAGCAGCCGCGGUAAUACGUAAGGUCCGAGCGUUGUCCGGAAUCAUUGGGCGUAAAGGGUACGUAGGCGGGUAAGCAAGUUAGAAGUGAAAUCCUAUAGCUCAACUAUAGUAAGCUUUUAAAACUGCUCAUCUUGAGGUAUGGAAGGGAAAGUGGAAUUCCUGGUGUAGCGGUGAAAUGCGCAGAGAUUAGGAGGAAUACCGGUGGCGAAGGCGGCUUUCUGGCCAUAACCUGACGCUGAGGUACGAAAGCGUGGGGAGCAAACAGG